AAACAAACAAACACACACACACACACACACACGGUGGAUGCAGGAAAAAACGGAGAUGAGAGUAUACAGGACGACCUGACAGCUACGCUCGUUAUUUCUGGAUCAAUGGAAGAACAUUGCCAGGAUAAGCCUGACAAGGGAUGUCUGGCUUAACCUCCACACUAGCAAGCUAAGAAACACUGGAAAUGGACCGAUUGGCGGGACUGCUACUGACAGAGUUAACACAGUCGGCGAUACACUGGGUGCAAAUAUUCCACCGAAAAAAGGUAUUUACAGAAACUACUUUGCAGAGCCACCGUCGCUGCAUCUGGAACUGAUAGCGCUGCCCAAGACAAUUGUGAUUGGUUUAAAGAAAUGCAAAACAACCCAGAGUGUUUUUUUCUUCCUAUCCCAGAAUGUAUGUGAGGUGUAGCCAGACCUAUCUCAACAGCGCUGUAGAGUAAGGUUUGGCGAUGAAAGGCUACAUAUCAACUCACGAAAAGAAACUAAAACAUGAUUUGAUAAUUACUGAGCUCUUCCCCUUUUUAAUAAAAAGGAAUACAUGGAAUGUGUGGAAUUUCAA